UAAAAUCUAUAUUUGUAUUUUAUGUCACUGCUGCCUUUAAACUAGCUGAGUUUACCGAAGUAGCUAGCUAACUAUCAGUUUAACAUGUAGCAUGUACUGUUUAACCAUGAAAUUUAAAUGUAAAAUACGGUAAAAUAAUUAAUAGGGCAUAUUUAAAUGGGUAAUAGGGUAAAACCCAGUGCAUUUAAGAUAAAAAUGGGUUGAAAUAUGACGGGGCGCGCCGCUUGGGGGGACACUUCUGUGCUCUAUUCUUUCAUCCGGUAAUCCCCAGCGGUCAGGCCGGGCAGGCUGAUCGAUGCGGCGCCUCGCUGCUGCGGGCUGACCGCUCGUGGAACUCGGAGACAGAUCUGACCGGAGAAAUACUGCAGCUCGUUGAGAAGUCUAUAGGGCAUACAGCGUUUCCCUUAAAUCCCACUGCCACGCCGACAAGAUCCCAAGUUUCUUUGUUUUUGUUGGCGCUGUUUACCGAAGAAGCAGCGGGAAUACCAGCAACUUUAAUCAGACUCUUAAAGUUAGUUUUUGCAGGGGACCCCCUGUAUUUUACUGCUCCCUCCUGCAGUCUUCCCCUAUUAAAAUUUAAAAUGUGUAACUUCAUGUAUUGUGAUGAAUGACUAAUAUUCAUGUUAACUAAAACGUUAGGUAUUUAGGGGGAAAAAACAAAAUAAUAAACAUUAUACAGAUGUCAAAUAAAUCAAACUGUAAUUAAACUAUAUAUUUUCAAAGUCUUGAUUCUGGAUAAAAUCCAACAACAUAUGCUUUAUAAAUAAACACUACGCAUGGAUUUUACACACACACACACACACGUUACAUUGUGAUUUCUUAGUAAAUAUUCUAUUUGGCGAGAGAUAAACUUUAUUGUAUUUAUCCUAGUGAAUCUAUAAUUAAACGGGUAAACUAGCAGUAGUACAUCCAACAUCAAAGAAAGUAAAAUGUUAUUAUCAGGAGAGGGAGAAUGAUUAAGUGUUUAGCAGCAGUGUGCUAGACGAUGGCCCCCUCCAUGAGGCCACCACAGCUCAGCAGAACAUCAUUGUAGCUUCUUCUGGGGAGAAAAACACUUACAGAAAAAAUAAAGUUAACAGCUGAAAUAGCAGGAAAUAAUACAGUUAAAGAGCAGAUUGUAGAAGAAAGAAACCCCUGGGUUAAACUGGUCUGUCUACUGCAUAAUGCUGAACUCUAACAUGUGUCCUCAGGGAAGGACCUGAUUGGUGUCCAGAACCUGCUGAAGAAGCACGAGGCUCUGCAGGCUGAGAUCACAGGUCAUGAACCUCGCAUCAAGGCUGUCACCCAGAAAGGAGAGACCAUAAUGGAGGAAGGUCACUUCGCUGGUUCAGAACCCUCGGCCCGUCAGAACAUUCUUAUCCACCACGUUCUAACACCAGACCUGUUAACCCGACAGCAACAAGUGGCUCCAACUGACGAUGAGACCGGGAAGGAGCUGGUUCUGGCUCUGUACGACUACCAGGAGAAGAGUCCUGGAGAGGUCACCAUGAAGAAGGGCGACAUCCUCACGCUGCUCAACAGCACCAACAAGGUUGUUUUACUUGAACUCGCGUCUUUAGCUGAAUGAGGAUGGAGAGACGGGUCGGACCUGGAGCAGGUCGAGGUCUUGCAGAAGAAGUUUGACGACUUCCAGAAGGACCUGAAGGCCAACGAGUCCCGCCUGAGGGACAUCAACAAGGUGGCAUCUGAACUGGAGUCAGAAGGUCUGAUGGCUGAGGAGGCUCCUAUGGUUCAGGCUCAGCAACAAGAACAUCUGGGUUCUGCUCCUGGAAAGGAUGAAGCCGACUCUAACCCCGGCUUUCCACAGGAGCCGUCAGCAGCACGUUACUGCAGCAGCACGUCAUAGCUGCUGAUAGGAACCGCUGUGGUCAACAGAACCUUUUCCACCGGAGCCGUCAGCAGCGCGAGUCGGCCGCGUCUCAGGAGCAGCAUGUCGCGGCCUUUACGCGCCGGUUCUAUUUUCUACGCGCGACGCCUCUGAAACGGGUCAAGUUCGACAUUUUUGGGGAAGGAAAGACAGGAAAUCGGACGCGGAAAUGGAGAGAAGCUACCGAGAUUUUCAGAAUAAAGAACGUACUGCCUUCCGGUUGCUUUACUUUUAAAAAAGGUUACUAACUGUGCGUCCCCGUGAGAAGUUAUCACCUAGCUAGCGGUCUCCUUUGUUUUUCAGGUCAGUAUUGGCGAUUAUAAAACGGACAGAACAUAAAACACAAACCAUGUUGUAAUUUUCUCCUGCUUGUUGUUGUGUUUACUGAUGAAGUCACUCGUGUGACUUCGUGCUCGG